rnacentral:tRNA from 1 species
UGGCUCAGUGGUAGAGCGCUUGGUUAGCAUACAGGAGGCCCUGGGUUAGAUCCCUAG